GUGUGUAAAGGCCUAUAGACAGUGAUACAGUAGGUUAGUGAGGGUGUGUAAAGGCCUAUAGACAGUGAUACAGUAGGUUAGUGAGGGUGUGUAAAGGCCUAUAGACAGUGAUACAGCAGGUUAGUGAGGGUGUGUAAAGGCCUAUAGACAGUGAUACAGUAGGUUAGUGAGGGUGUGUAAAGGCCUAUAGACAGUGAUACAGUAGGUUAGUGAGGGUGUGUAAAGGCCUACAGACAGUGAUACAGUAGGUUAGUGAGGGUGUGUAAAGGCCUACAGACUGUGAUACAGUAGGUUAGUGAGGGUGUGUAAAGGCCUACAGACAGUGAUACAGUAGGUUAGUGAGGGUGUGUAAAGGCCUAUAGACAGUGAUAUAGCAGGUUAGUGAGGGUGUGUAAAGGCCUAUAGACAGUGAUACAGUAGGUGUGUAAAGGCCUAUAGACAGUGAUACAGUAGGUUAGUGAGGGUGUGUAAAGGCCUAUAGACAGUGAUACAGUAGGUUAGUGAGGGUGUGUAAAGGCCUAUAGACAGUGAUACAGCAGGUUAGUGAGGGUGUGUAAAGGCCUAUAGACAGUGAUACAGUAGGUUAGUGAGGGUGUGUAAAGGCCUACAGACAGUGAUACAGUAGGUUAGUGAGGGUGUGUAAAGGCCUAUAGACAGUGAUACAGCAGGUUAGUGAGGGUGUGUAAAGGCCUAUAGACAGUGAUACAGUAGGUGUGUAAAGGCCUAUAGACAGUGAUACAGUAGGUUAGUGAGGGUGUGUAAAGGCCUAUAGCCAGUGAUACAGUAGGUUAGUGAGGGUGUGUAAAGGCCUAUAGACAGUGAUACAGUAGGUGUGUAAAGGCCUAUAGCCAGUGAUACAGUAGGUUAGUGAGGGUGUGUAAAGGCCUACAGACUGUGAUACAGUAGGUUAGUGAGGGUGUGUAAAGGCCUACAGACAGUGAUACAGUAGGUUAGUGAGGGUGUGUAAAGGCCUACAGACUGUGAUACAGUAGGUUAGUGAGGGUGUGUAAAGGCCUAUAGACAGUGAUACAGUAGGUUAGUGAGGGUGUGUAAAGGCCUAUAGACAGUGAUACAGCAGGUUAGUGAGGGUGUGUAAAGGCCUAUAGACAGUGAUACAGUAGGUGUGUAAAGGCCUAUAGACAGUGAUACAGUAGGUUAGUGAGGGUGUGUAAAGGCCUAUAGACAGUGAUACAGUAGAAUAGUGAGGGUGUGUAAAGGCCUAUAGACAGUGAUACAGUAGGUUAGUGAGGGUGUGUAAAGGCCUAUAGACAGUGAUACAGUAGGUUAGUGAGGGUGUGUAAAGGCCUAUAGACAGUGAUACAGCAGGUUAGUGAGGGUGUGUAAAGGCCUAUAGACAGUGAUACAGUAGGUUAGUGAGGGUGUGUAAAGGCCUAUAGACAGUGAUACAGUAGGCUAGUUGAGGCCUCUCUGAAGAGGUGAUCCAGAAACACUGAGGCCAUAAUGGAUAAGUGGGCUCGGGCAGGCGAUCAAUUCCACUAUUAAUGAAAAAUAUUAACGUUGUCAUUUAAUCAAUAAGGGGACAAAUAGGCUUUAAGUAAAUGAACGUAUAGCACAACCAAGACUAAUGUGAGAGAGG